UAUAUAAUCUCUAGUGGAACUUUCUGUCGAACUGAAUGAGGCUUUAAAUAAACUAUUAACAUAAAAGCUCUGGUCUGACAAUGAAAGUAGCGUAAAUGAAAGUGGGAGGGGUCGUAAGUUAGUUUUAACGCGUGCUGUCAGGAGGGCAGCACUGUCAGUACGCGUGCGUCGAUCCGCGAUGAAUGAUUUGAAAGUUCGAACGCUAAAAUUUCCAGAAUAUCUACUGCGUAAGGGGUCCAAAUGAGACGUGAUCCGGAGGACGCGAAAGAUUUGCUUGGCCUGUCAGCUACCUGGUUGAAAGUGACGGAUGUAUUAUUGAGAGAACCGCUAUGAUGAAUUACUUGAACAGUAUAGCGGGUGGUGGUGUAGCUGGUGAUGCUGGCUUGCAGCUGAACAAUGUCGAAGUUCUUUAUACGAAGGUACAGAGAGUUUAUGUAAAGCCACAGCAUAAGGAUGAACGCCAGAGAGAACUCCGGGUCAACGUCGAAAUCCACGCAGGACUCAGUCCAGUCUGUCGUAAGAGCCUCUGUGUACUACUGUCAGAUGAUGAUGAUCCUUGUUUUCUUUAUUCGUUGUACAUUACCGAUGAUGAUUUCAAAGUUCUCAAGGCUCAGCAAGGCUUGCUCGUGGACUUUGACAACUUUGCUACGCAGUUGAUAUGUCUUUUGGAACAAUGUUAUGUACCGGCAUCGAGUAUAGGCAAGACUCCACCAAAGUUCUUGCUUUUACUGGCAGAAGAAGGCAUGGAUUGGACCUUCAGGCUUGUUGAAACAAAUAACUUUAAACAUCUGUGUCAUCUCAGUUUAAAUAUUGCACCUGCGAGUGACUCUGAUAUAAAAACUCAUAUGGCAAUGAAGAUCAAGCAGCUAAAGGAAAAUGUCAUGCACAAGGAUAGAGACGUAAUUGGUAUGGAGACAAGACUGAAUGACUUAACAAGCAAGCUUGAUGCAAAGACCAGGGAUUUGGAGCAAUUAGAGCAGAAAUAUCUGUCUGAGAAAAAUCAACUGCAAAUUAAUUCAUCGCAGCAAAUCAGCAUCGAAAAAGAUAGGCUAGCACAAGCAAGACUAGAGUGGCAGCGACAAAGUGAGAAGGAAAAAUUGGAAGUGGAACAACGUCAUGCAGAAACUCUUAAACAGCUUCAUACAGAAUUAGCCGAGUUGCGAACACAAAAUAUUGGUCUCAGGGAUAAGCAAUCUCUUUUGGAAGCUACAAACAAGGAACAAGCAAAACAGCUGCAGAUACUAGAAAAGGAGCUCAGCGUUGCCCAACGUGAUUUGUCUAUGCUAAAGAAACAAAAUUCCAAGCUGGACGUAGAUUAUCACGAUAAAGAUAAGGCAGUGAACGGACUCCGAACAAAGGUCGCAGUGCUCGAGCAGGAGUUGAAAGACAAAUCUGUGCUUAUUAGCAAGCAUACAGAGAUGAUAAAAACAGCUAAGGAACAGAAGCAGCAUCUCGAGGAGCUCCUAGCCGACAAGGAAGGUCAGUUACAACGCAAGCAAAACUCCUUGAGGAACUUGAGCGACGAGUUAGUAAAAGCUAACGAGAUCUUAACCAAGUUACAAAAUGAGUUGGCAUCGACUAAGUCAAAGCUGAAGCUGAGAACGAGUAUAGCAUUGGAACAAGAACGAUUACUGGAUGCGAAGCAGAAGGAGGUCGGUCAGUUAGAGAAUAAAACAAGUGGCUAUGCAAAAGAAGCCAGCGAAGCAAAGGCUGAAGUGGAGAGUCUGAAAGAGCAAUUGAAGUCAUUGCAAAAUCAACUGGAGGAGAAAGAGAAGAUCAUUAAGAACAAUGACAACGUAAUCAGCUGGUUAAACAGAAGACUAGCAGAAGGGCAAUCUCCGCUACAAAGUGCAACAACAACGGCACCCAUAACUCUACCAUCAUCCGUCCAGUUGACUUUACCCAGAGGAAACAAACUCUUCUCGAGUAGAUUCGAGACCAGAACACCAGCACCAAGUACAACUCAACAACCCAGUAUUCCAAUGACAAACUUACCCCUGCGGAACCCUAUAGUACAGAAUCCAAACAUCAAUCAAACAGCACGUACAACGGCUCGCUCAAUGGGAGUCGGAGUUACGGACAGUACAGUAGGUUUAUCAACCUUUAAUAAAGGCGGACAGAUCUCAUGCACCAGCACCCCAAUGGACCGAGUAAACUCCUUGAACAAAUUACCUGGCAACGUAGCUGGAGCUUCGUCAAUGCCAGCCAUCGCAGAGAACAACAAUCCCGCCCUAAGCACAAAUAGUGCGAAAGCUAAAAGUGCCAGUGGUGUUAUGCAAGGUGGACUUCGGAGGGCGGUUUUUGAUAAACCUUUACUACCCUCAGCGUACUUCCCCAAGUCAUUACACUGAUCCGAAUUUCGAUGAUACCUGAGCCAAGCUCGACGCAAGUAAAUAUUCGAAAACUGAAGGCUCCGGUACUCCAGAUAAUCAGUAGCAACACACAACAAUGGCGUGACGCAACAAGUUUGCAGGUGACUUUACACACAGCCAGAAGUCGAAGACACGCAGGCGCAUUAACGUUCACACGCUCCUUCUCAUCCUACGAACGCCAGUGCACCGUUAUUUUAAGCACUAUUAUUCCACAAAGCACACUGCCGAGUAUACAAACUCUGUACGAAGCGUCUAAUCUCUCCAAGGAACAUUGCGUAACGUACAAGCUGAGCAAAUGCUUUGGGCUUUACGAAUAAGAGACUUUUUUAACCUACAUUUCAGCUGAAUUACAUACUAAAAUACAUGAUCUCUUUUGUCUCAAGCUGAACAAUAAACCAUACCUGGAGUCCGGCAAACGAUUAGCAUCUCCCGAAUAAAAAAAGGAGAUCAAUGAGACAUUCAUUGACAAUAAAUGCCCAUUGUCUUCAUCAGCUGAUACCUUGUUAUACAAGAACGUAACUAAAGAAGUCAUAAUAUUCUGAUCCAGGAGAUAUAGAUGGAGAAAACAAUUUUCGUCUGAUAGAAUCAACCAGUACUUUCCUAGUAUUAUAUUUAGAUGCGCACUUAGCGCAUUUUGAAUGUUGAGGAGGUGCAUCUUGUGUGAAUGACCGAAAGCAUGAUGGCUCGGUGCGUGUUCCUCCGGUUUGACGGCGAUAGAACUCGUGAACGAGGAAAGAGAGGAAGCAGGAGAAAAGAGAGGAUGCAAUGCAGUGAGCAAGGGAGGGCGAAAAAGACGGCACCUUGUAGAAAAUGAGAGAACGAAAGGGAAUAGUGGAAUCAGGAUCGUAACAAGUUACAUAAUAUUUGGGAGAAUAAGCAAGAAUAAGAUUAUUUACGAAUUCAUAAAUAUCUUUUCCCUUUUUUUUUUCACGGUAAGUACACCCACCUUGCGAUCCCUUAGUACCCACAUCCUGUUGGAUUUCUUUGGAUUGCAGAAAUUAUCGCAAAUAUAUUUGAAUUAGAAAAUACCCAUAUGCUUUGUUAUCAAUGGCGAUAUUCAGGCCUACGUGUGCGAAAUUAAAUAAUUUGCCAUCGGGAGAUAAACAUGACUUUUUCUAUCAGCUGCCAGUCGACUGUGCGAUACAGAAACAAUGAAAACUCGCUACACUUGCUAUUUGCAAUACAUACGCAAUUUAUAUCUGAGCAAGCAAUACGCUGUGUGGUACUCUGAUAGAAAAUAUUGUUUUCAACAUGCAUUGACGUACUUACACGAGGAAUCUAAAGUUAAUAAAUUUGCACGCGAGAACGCAAUAUGUAUAUUGUGGAAUGCACAGACGUUUGCACAUUUGGAUCUCAUGCGUUUGUUAUUUGUAUUACGUUGAGUUUCAUAUCUCUAUACAUAUCAUGAGAGUUGAACGCAUAAGAAUCAGUAUAGGAAAUAUGUUUUUGUUAAAAAAAAUGUAUAUCUACUCAUUGGAUUAUGACGCGUAUUCGCAUUGGUGAAACAAAUGUGUGUUACGUGUAAAUGCCGGCUCGUUCGCGGUUUAAUUAACGCUUGUAUAAAUAUUGAUAAAUUUAAUUGACCUUUAUGUAAAUGUUUAUCACAAGAGAGUGAACAAAUGCGUCACUGAUACAUUUAUUGCCCGCAUGUGUAAUAGUUUAUGUCGCUACGACAAAGGGAAUAUCCUCGUGUACUAUAAUAGUUAAUUUUUUUGGGAAAAUAGAUACUUCAUUAAAAUAAUUAAAAAAUAUACUAUACAGAAUUGCAUUGUAA